AUGGCGACGGCGGAGGAAGGCGAGAGAGGAGAGCCACCAGGAUUAGGGAGGGGGAGGUGUCCAAGAUUCCGGCGAUCUGAGGCGACCCGCGACAUGGCCGGAGGCGGCGGCGCUGGGGGAAAGGAGGAUGGCGGCACGGAGCCCCUACUCCUGUCCGUCCUCGCUCUCCCCGCAACGGCGCUCCCCGCCGUCGUCUCCCGCCUGGAGGCCGCCGUCCCGCGGAAGGCGCGCAGCUACCUCCCCCGCAACGUCCCGUCGGCCUGGUGGUCACUCAGGAUCCCCUUCAUCCAGCCGCUGCCGCCGGCUGGGGACCCGGCAAACGAAGAGGAGGGGAGAAGGUUCCCCCGCCCCCAGCGCGUGCAGGUGGCUCCGUCUCUCGAUCCAGGCACGGCCGAUAAGCCGCCCAAGAGAUUGAAGAGGUGCCUGCACUGCAAGGCGGUGGAGACGCCGCAGCGGAGGUCAGGGCCGAUGGGGCGGGGUACCCUCUGCAACGCCUGCGGAGUCUGGUACAGUAAGAACGGGACGCUGCCGGAGCACCUUCCGGUGGCAAGCCCAAUCGUCGAUUCGCCGCUGGAGAAUCCGAUCUGGGAGCCCGAGGUGCCUGGGGCCAUCUACCUGGUCAGAAAGUCGGCCACGGAGAGGAUGCCUCCCAGGACAGAAGCCGCACCAGCGCCACGGCCGGGGACGAGCUGCUUGCACUGCGGGUCGUCGGAGCCGCCUUUGUGGAUAGAAGGGUCGAUGAGGCGGAGGGAGGUCUGCACCGCCUGCGGCAUGCGGUACAAGAAAGGGAGGUUGCUGCCGGAGUGCCGUCCAGCAGAGUGCUCAGUGACGGAUUCCCGGCAGGAGAGCCCAGUCAUCAACUCCCCGCCAGAGAGUCCCAUCUGGGAACCUGAGGCGCCUCCGUCCGUGCACCUGCCAAGAAAGCCUUCAAAAAAGAAGAAGAGGAGGCGGUCGAGAAGCGAAGCCCCUUCGGCGCCAUGGCCGGCAAAUAAGGGGAAGAGGUGCCAGCACUGUGGGUCGUCAGAGACGCCGCAGUGGAGGGAGGGGCCAAAGGGGCGAGCCACGCUGUGCAACGCGUGCGGCGUGCGGUACAGGCAGGGGAGGCUACUGCCGGAGUACCGGCCCAUGGCGAGCCCUACAUUUGUGCCAACAAAGCAUGCCAAUUCCCACCGCAAGGUGCUCCAGUUGCAUCGGACCAGGCAAAGCAACGACGAGCAUCCAUCACCGCUGCCUGCCGACAGCGUCACCAACCUGCCCCCAAUCCGCGACGAGCUCCCGACCACCAGCACGGCAGGUCUUGCCAGUGAGGAUCCGACCGACGCACCGGGCUACACCGACAACCCAAUCAACGUGCCGAGCUCACUGGACUCGCUGCUGCUCGACGGGCCGUCGGCACCACUCAUCAUACUGAUGCUUGGAAAUUUUAAACUUUCAAUCACUGAAGGCCACUGCACAGGCCCUAGCAGUGAUCAAACCAGUUCUGUGAAUUCAACCAUUUAG
rnacentral:rRNA from 1 species